rnacentral:pre_miRNA from 1 species
UUUGUACUCCCUCCAUCCCAAAAAUCUUGUCUUAAAUUUUUCUAAAUAUGAAUGUAUCUAGUUACAUUUUAGUGUUAGAUACAUCUGUAUCUAAACAAAUGUAAGACAAGAAUUUUGGGACGGAGGGAAUACUAC